rnacentral:lncRNA from 1 species
CUGUUCUGCGCAUGUGUCCUAGGAUUUUGCAAUUAAUUUGCCUACUUCCCCAACUGUCUGCCGCGCCCUAAAGUCCUGCCUCAGUGAUUAGCUGUUAGGAGCUGGUCCCAGUUCUGCCCUUCCUAGCCGUGUGUCCUUGGACAAGUUGCUUUCAAGGCAUGGUCAAAAAAUAAGGGCCCUGUUGCUCAUGACCAACAGGUAAAUUCUCAGGCCAAGGCCAAUGUCUCAAGAAAGAAAAUGUGCACUCUUCACGUCUUGGAAAAACUCUAAAUUCAACAGUUCAACAAAUAUUUAUUCUCUGUGUAUUGGGAAAGUCACUCCACCAGCCUUUGGAUUUGACACACCAUUGCCAAUCCCGGACUCAGAACUUUGGACCUGGACUGGAACUUAUACCUUCAGCUGUCCCGCAUCUCCACCUUGCUGACUGCGGAUCAUGGGACUUGUCAGCUUCCAAAAUGGCAUAGCCAAACUUCUCUCUCUCUCCCCCUCCCUGCCUCCUUCUUUCUCUCUCCUCCCUUAUGCAUACAUGUAUAUAAAAUCUCCAUAUUUAUGUAUCUGUAUAUCUACAACUAUUUCCUAUUGGUUGUGUUUCUCUGAUGAGCCUUAAUGCACCUCCUUUAUAGACAAGAAAAAUGAUGCUCCAGCCCUUCUCAUUCAUAUAUCCCAAGCUCAACCCAUCCUCUUCCUCCUCCUAAGCCCGUACUCCUGGAAACUGACACCAAGAAUCCUUUCAUCCUCCUCAACCUCUUUAUCUCCUAGAGCUGCAGAGACCCUGUCUGAACUCUCUUCUGGAUUCCCCUCCCCUGCCUCACUCCUGCUGCUGACCCCACUGAGAUCCUCAGCAUCUCCCUCUGCAUCACCUGAGAGCUUCCCCUGUCUCUCAUAAUCAAGGAUCAGCUCCUCCCCCAGGCCCUGUCCAUCAACACCAGCUUUGGGCACCAGGCCCUAGGCCUACAAGCUCUUAUGAAGGUCCCACAAUAAGGUUUCAGGCCUCAAAAAAAGGUGUUUUCACUAACACCAAACUAUGGAAAGAAGAACUGAAAUUAAUCAAUGUUCAGACAAUGUCUAAAAAGGUGAUUUGUUAAUUGUCUCUAUAAAAUUUUAU